rfam:Ornithorhynchus anatinus chromosome 2, whole genome shotgun sequence.
UACCUCUCAGGGCUGCAUCUGGAGCGUUUCCAGUACUCUACCAGUCUUGACUACGGGAGGGAGAGUCAAGCAGAGGUAUACCCAUUCCAUUCCCAGCUUGGGCAGUGGCUAGCGAGUGGAAGGCCAUCUGCUACAAGU